rnacentral:rRNA from 1 species
GACGAACGCUGGCGGCGUGCCUAAUACAUGCAAGUCGAACGCAGUGGGGACGGGUGAGUAACACGUGGGUAACCUCCCAUCAGAGGGGAUAACACUUGGAAAAAGGUGCUAAAACCGAUACUGAUGUCUGUACCCGCGGGGCAUUAGCGAGGUGUGGGGGUAACGGCUCACCAAGGCCACGAUGCAUAGCCGACCUGAGAGGGUGAUCGGCCACACUGGGACUGAGACACGGCCCAGACUCCUACGGGAGGCAGCAGUAGGGAAUCUUCGGCAAUGGACGAAAGUCUGACCGAGCAACGCCGCGUGAGUGAAGAAGGUUUUCGGAUCGUAAAGCUCUGUUGUUAGAGAAGCGGUAUCUAACCAGAAAGCCACGGCUAACUACGUGCCAGCAGCCGCGGUAAUUC